UAGAGGAAGUAAAAGUCGUAACAAGGUUUCCGUAGGUGAACCUGCGGAAGGAUCAUUAACGAGUAACUGAACAGGUUGUAGCUGGCCUUUCGGGGCAUGUGCACGCCUGGCUCAUCCACUCUUCAACCUCUGUGCACUCAUUGUAGGUCGGUGGAAAGGCAGGUUCUUUUAGAAUCUGCUUGAAAGCCUUCCUAUGUUUUACUACAAACGCUUCAGUUUAAGAAUGUAUCUCUGCGUAUAACGCAUCUAUAUACAACUUUCAGCAACGGAUCUCUUGGCUCUCGCAUCGAUGAAGAACGCAGCGAAAUGCGAUAAGUAAUGUGAAUUGCAGAAUUCAGUGAAUCAUCGAAUCUUUGAACGCACCUUGCGCUCCCUGGUAUUCCGGGGAGCAUGCCUGUUUGAGUGUCAUGGUAUUCUCAACCUUCAUAACUUUUUUGUUAUCGAAGGCUUGGACUUGGAGGUUGUGCUGGCUACUCGCUUAGUCGGCUCCUCUUAAAUGCAUUAGCGUGAGUGUAACAGAUCGCUUCGGUGUGAUAAUUAUCUGCGCCGUGGUCGUGAAGUAACAUAAGCUUGCGCUUCUAACCGUCCUUCAGUUGGACAACUUACAUUAUGACAUCUGACCUCAAAUCAGGUAGGACUACCCGCUGAACUUAAGCAUAUCAA
rnacentral:rRNA from 1 species